GAAGUAGCCUAGACUAUUGACUUAGCCC
rnacentral:piRNA from 1 species